AACGAACGCUGGCGGCAGGCCUAAUACAUGCAAGUCGAACGCCGUAGCAAUACGGAGUGGCAGACGGGUGAGUAACGCGUGGGAACCUUCCUAAUGGUACGGAAUAGCCCGGGGAAACCCGGAGUAAUACCGUAUAAGCCCGUAAGGGGAAAGAUUUAUCGCCAUUAGAUGGGCCCGCGUCGGAUUAGCUAGUUGGUAGGGUAACGGCCUACCAAGGCUACGAUCCGUAGCUGGUCUGAGAGGAUGAUCAGCCACACUGGGACUGAGACACGGCCCAGACUCCUACGGGAGGCAGCAGUGGGGAAUCUUGCGCAAUGGGCGAAAGCCUGACGCAGCGACGCCGCGUGAGGGAUGACGGCCU
rnacentral:rRNA from 1 species